GGCGGACGGGUGAGUAAUGCCUAGGAAUCUGCCUGAUAGUGGGGGACAACGUUUCGAAAGGAACGCUAAUACCGCAUACGUCCUACGGGAGAAAGCAGGGGACCUUCGGGCCUUGCGCUAUCAGAUGAGCCUAGGUCGGAUUAGCUAGUUGGUGAGGUAAUGGCUCACCAAGGCGACGAUCCGUAACUGGUCUGAGAGGAUGAUCAGUCACACUGGAACUGAGACACGGUCCAGACUCCUACGGGAGGCAGCAGUGGGGAAUAUUGGACAAUGGGCGAAAGCCUGAUCCAGCCAUGCCGCGUGUGUGAAGAAGGUCUUCGGAUUGUAAAGCACUUUAAGUUGGGAGGAAGGGCAUUAACCUAAUACGUUAGUGUUUUGACGUUACCGACAGAAUAAGCACCGGCUAACUUCGUGCCAGCAGCCGCGGUAAUACGAAGGGUGCAAGCGUUAAUCGGAAUUACUGGGCGUAAAGCGCGCGUAGGUGGUUUGUUAAGUUGAAUGUGAAAGCCCCGGGCUCAACCUGGGAACUGCAUCCAAAACUGGCAAGCUAGAGUAUGGCAGAGGGUGGUGGAAUUUCCUGUGUAGCGGUGAAAUGCGUAGAUAUAGGAAGGAACACCAGUGGCGAAGGCGACCACCUGGGCUAAUACUGACACUGAGGUGCGAAAGCGUGGGGAGCAAACAGGAUUAGAUACCCUGGUAGUCCACGCCGUAAACGAUGCU
rnacentral:rRNA from 1 species